rnacentral:tRNA from 1 species
GCCUACAUAACUCAGUGGUUAGAGUAUUGGUUUCAUACGGGGGGAUUCAUUGGUUCAAAUUCAAUAGUAGGUA